GUUGGAUCAAUAUCUCAUGCAAUAAUGUUUCCUCCUCUGUCAUUAUUUUCCUUCUUAUUGAACAUUAUUUCAUUUUAAUCAGUAUCUUCUUCUUUCAUCAGGAGAAUGAAUCCGCUGCCUGUUCCUUGUACCAAAAACAUCCAGGACUGUUUAAACCCAUAUACACUUCAAAACAUCCACAACAUCUUCAGAGGAGAACAUCAAGGAGAACUGCAGAAGAGCUGUGCAGACACUUGGCAGUGGUUGGAGUGGUUAUCCUGUCGUGUGUCGUCCUGAGGAUUCGCCCCGAGUUUCCUGACCCGACUGGACAGUAUGUUGGCUUCCGCCCGCCCCUUGACUACACCUGGACACGUGUCGAGCCACCCAUCCUUCUUUUUGAGAGUCCGGCAUUUUCUGCAGCUCCUCCAUGAAUGGUUCUGGUUCCUGAAACACCUCCUCCAACACCAGUGCCAUCAAGUCCCCGACAUAUCCUGUAAAAAAGUAAUUCAAGAACAAAAAUCUAUUUCAUAUUGUUUGGUUAUUGCUCAUUUUUCACAAACAUCUGAAAAAUGAGCUCAGCUAACAAUGCUAUACCUGUUACCGCUUUAGAUGAAAGUUGAUAAAUAGUUUAGUACUGCUCUAAUUUAGAAAAAUAGCAUUACUUAGCAUGUUAGCCGAGGCUUACAGUUCAGCUACAGACAGACUCCACAGAACUAAUGUAUCCAGCAGCUCAAAAGUUGUUUUCAAACAAAUAAAAAAGACAAUUAAUGAAGCGUA